CAGGACCAUGGGGUAUUAUGUGUGCUGGAAAAAAUGAAAAUACUAUCAGAGGCUGUGAUACCAAGUAUGGCUGUGGAAACUAUGGUGCUUCUAGAAUGUAAGCUGGUGGAAGAGAAGAACGCUCUCAUUUUGGUAUUGGUAUACUCAGCAGGCAGCACACUACCUGAGGUAAAAGGAAACACACCGGGGUGGAUGUGACAUGCAAAGGUGGAUCAGUUGCGUAUGCCCCUUUCGAUGGAAUAAUUGUGAGGCAGGCAAAACCUAUUAAUAAUGGUGUCCAGAUAACUGCAGAAGG